rnacentral:tRNA from 1 species
GAGGUGGUAGCUCAGUGAUAGAGCACUCAACUCACAUUUGUGAGGCACUGGGUUUAAUCCUUGGCACCACA